rnacentral:rRNA from 1 species
AGCUCCAAUAGCGUAUACUAAAGUUGUUGCAGUUAAAAAGCUCGUAGUUGGAUUUCUGGUCGUGGGCCUCGGUCCGCCCCUCACGGGGUGUGCACCUGGGGUCUGCAGCCAUCCUCAGGGGGAACAUGUCUGACAUUAAGUUGCCGGGCAUGGGAUCCCUGUCAUUUACUGUGAGCAAAAUAGAGUGUUCAAAGCAGGCUUAGGCCGUUGAAUACAUUAGCAUGGAAUAAUAAGAUAGGACCUUGGUCUAUUUUGUUGGUUUGCACUCCAAGGUAAUGAUUAAUAGGGAUAGUUGGGGGUAUUCGUAUUCAAUUGUCAGGGGUGAAAUUCUUGGAUUUAUGGAAGACGAACUACUGCGAAAGCAUUUACCAAGGAUGUUUUCA